rnacentral:rRNA from 1 species
UACAGAGGGUGCAAGCGUUAAUCGGAAUUACUGGGCGUAAAGCGCGCGUAGGUGGUUUGUUAAGUUGAAUGUGAAAUCCCCGGGCUCAACCUGGGAACUGCAUGCAAACUGGCAAGCUAGAGUAUGGUAGAGGGUGGUGGAAUUUCCUGUGUAGCGGUGAAAUGCGUAGAUAUAGGAAGGAACACCAGUGGCGAAGGCGACCACCUG